GACGAACGCUGGCGGCGUGCCUAAUACAUGCAAGUUGAGCGAUGAAGCUUGGUGCUUGCACCAAUUUGAAGAGCAGCGAACGGGUGAGUAACGCGUGGGGAAUCUGCCUUUGAGCGGGGGACAACAUUUGGAAACGAAUGCUAAUACCGCAUAACAACUUUAAACAUAAGUUUUAAGUUUGAAAGAUGCAAUUGCAUCACUCAAAGAUGAUCCCGCGUUGUAUUAGCUAGUUGGUGAGGUAAAGGCUCACCAAGGCGAUGAUACAUAGCCGACCUGAGAGGGUGAUCGGCCACCUUGGGACGGAGACACGGCCCAAACUCCUACGGGAGGCAGCAGUAGGGAAUCUUCGGCAAUGGACGAAAGUCUGACCGAGCAACGCCGCGUGAGUGAAGAAGGUUUUCGGAUCGUAAAACUCUGUUGGUAGAGAAGAACGUUGGUGAGAGUGGAAAGCUCAUCAAGUGACGGUAACUACCCAGAAAGGGACGGCUAACUACGUG
rnacentral:rRNA from 1 species